rnacentral:lncRNA from 1 species
GGGUUGUGGCAGAUGGUGGACUAGUUGAAGAAGGUUUUGGGUUUUCAUGUGAAACAUUCCUCUCCUCUUCUUUAUCUUCCUUAUUGUUACUCUCCCCAACCUUAUUAUCUAUUAUACGACCACUCCUUAGGGUAGUCAAAGCAUUGGCUUGCUCAUGAUUUAGUCGGGUUUCUUGAGCCACGUAUUGUCCUCUUGGAUUACUCAUUGGUUGACUUGGAAGCUUACCUUCCUCUCGUUUAUUUAAUGCAUUGGCUAGUUGACCCAUUUGGG